UACGUAGGGGGGCAAGCGUUGUCCGGAAUCAUUGGGCGUAAAGCGCGCGUAGGCGGCCCGAUAAGUCUGCUGUGAAAGUCCAGGGCUCAACCUCGGAAUGCCGGUGGAUACUGUCGGGCUAGAGUUCGGAAGAGGCAAGUGGAAUUCCUGGUGUAGCGGUGGAAUGCGCAGAUAUCAGGAGGAACACCUAUAGCGAAGGCAGCUUGCUGGGACGACACUGACGCUAAGGCGCGAAAGCGUGGGGAGCGAACAGG
rnacentral:rRNA from 1 species